GCCGGUCACGAUGGCCGGCCCGGUCGGCGAACUUGUCGUGUACGCCGGUGCCGGAACGCCGGUCCGGUUCCGGCUGGGCGGCG
rnacentral:tRNA from 1 species